AUUGUAUAUUUUACUUUCGGGUAUGUAAACAAUAGUCCGAAGACUGCCAAAUGCUUUCUGUUGUGUCAUUAUUGAUUAUUGAAGUAGAUCUGAGAGAGUUUAUAUUUAAUAUAUUGUAUAAUUUAACAAAUCUAAGGGAAGUAACCUCUCAUCGACUGUGUGAAUGAGAUUAUAAUAAAUUGUGAUUUGUAGAUUUAAACUUAUCUUUUUACAAGGAAUAAUGAAAUUAUGCCUCUUUUUUUCUUAAGUUCAUGUUAUGUUUUUAGCAAUAUAUUUGAUUGUGCAGUGAAAUCUUUGUACAGUUAUCUCUCAUAAUAUGUUACAUACUGUUUAGUUGUUGGAAUUCAACUGACUUGUUCUUGUGACAUUAUGUAGAUAUACCCCUUAUUUGAUGCAUGAGCUGGUCACAUAAUAUGAAGUCCAGUAUUAUUUAAGUUCAUAAAAUACAACUUUGACUUAUUAUUUUACUACCACUGUGAAAAAUGAAUAAAUAAAUCCAAAUUACAGUAUAAGUAGCUCAUCUCUUAAUUUGUUUUUUUUUUGUUGAAAAUUUUAAAUUUUAAUUUGUAGAAAUGUAAGUGAAUAAACCUGCCCAACAAAAAAUAACCUUAAAUAUGUCAAAAUAUGGGGAAAUUAUUGUUACUGUGUAACUAACAGGGUAGGAAUAUGGUGAUACAAAUGGUCAAAUGUGUAAUACUCAUGUGCAUCAUGGAACAUGCAAAAGUAUUAAAAUAACUUUUCUUUGUAAAACAAUUCUUUAUUCAUUUGGCGUAUUGCAGCUAAAGUGUUUUUUAUUCAUUUACUGUAUUGUUGCUGAAGUUUUUAGUAAUCUUAUAUUCAUUUUGACAAGGGCAAAAUAAAUACAAGGGGUGAAUAAAUGUUUUCCAUUUGUGAUAUGUAAUGGUAUUUUUUCUGCAGUUAGCUGGUUUUAAAGGAUAACAACACUUAAACACUAUAUCCAUGCAUCAUCUUUUAUGAUGUGAAUCGCCCAUCAUGAUGUUGGAAACAUUGUGGUAGUUUGAAACCAUCUGUAUCUGUUUUUGUUGGUGUUCAUCUUAAGGCAUUUACAAAACAAAUACUUUUUCCCUCUUUUUACCCAAAUGUUCUCAGUUAGUACUGUUUGAAAACUACCCUAUUUAAAUGUUGUAUGUAGAUUUGGUGAAAAAGGACAACAUUUAAAUGGUCUAGCUCAUGCACCAGUGUCAGCAUAAAUUUAUCUUAAUUAAAGAAAACAUUUGCUCUAUAGUUUUUAAUGAACAAUGGGUUAACUUUAACUUUUCAUGUAUGUUUUACUCAUUUUUAAUAUUUUCUGAAUAUACAUUUUUUUAUCAGUCUUGUAUUUAACAUUCAUUAUGUAAUAAUUGAAUCACUGCAUACACAUGUAUGUACUGUUAUUUUAUAUUUUUCAAAACCAUUAUGUUUAUUACACCAUAUCAUCAAGGCAUUGCUCCACAUUGUACAAGGUUAAUAUGAAAACAAAUAUUUUUUUUCAUAUUUUGUGUUUUAUAGUUCUUGUUUUAAUAUAUAAUAUGUGUACGGCAAGUAAGUAGUUACGAGUAUAUUAAGGUGAACCAUGUCUAAUUAUUAUUGUCUAUUCUGUCCUUUGAUGACGUCCGUCAAAACCUACUUGCAAAUGUUAGGUUCAAAGGAGGACGGACCAUCAGUUCUUUAUAAUAUCAGACCUGUAUAAUGGUAACUAAUGAUCUGUUUAUUAUUUAGUCAUUAGUUAGAUUUGUCUAGAAAAUAACAUGGAAAAAAGCAAAAAGAAAACCUCCGAUUUAAUAUGGUCAAGGUAAUAUUUAAUUGAUAAAGUACCAAGAUAAAGAUAAUGUUUUGUUUCAGUAACUUUUAUGUCAUUAUUUGUUACCGGGCUUUUCUGUAAAAUAAGUUUGAAAGUUAUUACUAAUGCUCAUUGGCAAUGGUUUAGUGUGGUAUAUUAAAUUAACUUGAGUCAGUCAGCGUUGAACUUAAACACUUAGUUUUAAGCAACAAAGUAUGUACAAUUUUUUGUUGAAAAUACUCUACACCUACUGCAAAGUUACUACAUGAUCAUUGAAUUGAAACAGUGUUUUCUUUUCUUCUAAUUCUGACAUAAUUAUGUAUUUGAAACAAGAAUUCAUCAUUGUUUCUUUAUGCCAUGUUAAUUUCUUGAUUAGUCUUAGUCAAGAUAAUGUAAAGUCUAAAUAUAAGAAAUGAAGCAGUUUUGCUUUUGCUAUCCUAGAAUAUGUUCAUCAAGGAAUUUCUUUUCCAUCAGAGUUUUGUUGUUUCAAAAGCCAGAUAUACUCAACAUUUUAUCGUAUCAUACAUUAUAGUACAUAAAUAUAUACAUUAUGUUACCAUGGCAUCUCAGAGGUUUGUUUACAUUACAUAUUGAUAUUAUUUGAUUGUUUUGAUUGAUUCUAUAUGUAUAUAUGAUUUUAAUCUGUAAUGUUUUGCUGAAUAUUCUUUUAUAUGUAUAUAAACAGCUUUCAUUAUGAAUUUAUGAUAUUACUUCAUGCAUUUCUUUACAAAUUAAAAAAAAUAAAAUAAUCAGUUGAACAUGAAAUAAGACAUGUUAUAAUGAUGAUGGCAUGAAACUUACCCCCCAAAAAAUGCAUUCUAGUUAUGUAUAUAUUCUUAUGCAAAAAUUUCACAACUUAAUGGUUAAUCAAUAAUAAUAUAAAAGCUUUCAAUGGUGUUUCUUGCCUUAAUUGAAACGUGCCAUGUAACUUUAACAAUGCUGUAUGUGACUGAGACACAAAUUAAAGAAAAUUAGGGAAACUAGUGGUAUAAUAUGUAUUUUGAGGAUGUUCAGAUCUGUCUGCCACCUCGAUUAGUUUAUGCAUUAUUACAUAAAAUCUACAGAGACCGUUAGGUGAUCCGGCUUUUGAAAGGUUAAAAUGAAACAGAAUUGUAAAAGAAUUCCUAUUCCUUUAAGAUGCUUAGAAACACUACAACCAAUUUAAGUAGUUGCUUUUUUGAUAUGAAAUAAUGAUACCUUAAACUUGUUGAAAUGAUACUAAAGACUAUGCUUACUUUUACUUACUGUACUACAUACCUGUAAGUUUUAUCCUAUGCCACAGGUGAUAACUAUUUUUAUUCUCUUAACAUGUUAUAAUGGGUAUGCAAAAACAUGUCUUAACAUAAAUAAAGUUAUCUUAUCUUGAAUGCAUGUUGAUAUAUAUACGGGAAGUAUCUUAUUCAAUUUACUGAACUGUAUAUAUUGAUUGACUAUUAAUAUAUCUAUUUAUUUGUUAUGGCCAUAUUAAUAAUAAAUUGUUAAACUGUA